rnacentral:rRNA from 1 species
GAUGAACGCUGGCGGCGUGCCUCAAACAUGCAAGUCGAGCGGGGCUAUGUAAUAUCGCAAGGUAGAACAUAGCCUAGCGGCGAACGGGUGAGUAACACGUGGGUAACCUGCCUGGAAGACAGGGAUAACGAUUCGAAAGGGUCGCUAAUACCUGAUAAUAUCCUUUCAUCGCAUGGUGAUAGGAAGAAAGGGGAAACCCGCUUUCAGAUGGGCCCGCGUCCCAUCAGCUAGUUGGUAAGGUAAAGGCUUACCAAGGCGACGACGGGUAGCCGGUCUGAGAGGAUGUACGGCCACACUGGGACUGAGAUACGGCCCAGACUCCUACGGGAGGCAGCAGUUGGGAAUCUUAGGCAAUGGACGAAAGUCUGACCUAGCGACGCCGCGUGAGGGAAGAAGGCCUUCGGGUUGUAAACCUCUGUCAUGGGGGAAGAGUAAGUGACGGUACCCAAGAGGAAGCCCCUGCUAACUACGUGCCAGCAGCCGCGGUAAAAACCCCGACGUACUGU